CACGUAGGCGGGUCCUUAAGUCAGGGGUGAAAUCCUGGAGCUCAACUCCAGAACUGCCUUUGAUACUGAGGAUCUCGAGUUCGGGAGAGGUGAGUGGAACUGCGAGUGUAGAGGUGAAAUUCGUAGAUAUUCGCAAGAACACCAGUGGCGAAGGCGGCUCACUGGCCCGAUACUGACGCUGAGGUGCGAAAGCGUGGGGAGUAAACAGGAUUAGAUACCCUGGUAGUCCACGCCGUAAACGAUGGAUGCUAGCCGUUGGCGGGUUUACGUCGUCAGUGGCGCAGCUAACGCUUUAAGCAUCCCGCCUGGGGAGUACGGUCGCAAGAUUAAA
rnacentral:rRNA from 1 species